GCUGAGAGAGGAUACUAAUGGAUUAGUCAACACCCAUGUUUAAUUAGUUUGUCUAGAUCAGAGCAGUGCUGACUGGAAUGUGUGCUGGCUUCUAAACAGAAGGAGCUCAGGCAAACCACGUAGAGGAGUUACUGGCGCUCACUGCACCAGGGCAAUGGAAAAGUCCAGAACAUUACAUCUCUGGAUUGGAGAAAUGGCCUGCGCAAUUCACUUACUGAAGAUGAGACUCUAGCACUGUAAGCUACUGAACCUUUCGUGCAGGAAGAUCUGCCACCAGAUCCAGAAUGUCUCUUCUGUAGUUUGGUUGUCAACAGUUCUCCAGUCCUAAAAGGAAGAGUGCCCGAAUGCAUUUCUAGUUAGCGAUAGUACCAGAACUACUGGAAGGCCAUUUUGGCUUCCAAAAAAGUUUCAGAACAACAUUCCAGAGUGUUCUGGCUUGAAUUGAACCAUAGCUGUCAAAUCCCCAUUGGAAGGCUUCAACGCUUGUCCACACAAUUUGAUGAUUACUCUUGACAUUGUAAAGCAAGAACUUCAAGAUAUUAGAUGUAGAUAAUUAGGGGAAUUCAAAUCAAGAUGACUGUAUAUGUAUUAAUAUGCAUCUCCUUACCUUUUAUUUCAUCAGCUUGUUGAAUAUAUGGCUUUCAUUAUUCUGUGUGAUUUUGCAUUCAGGCACAUAUGUUUUUAACGUUGGCCACAUUAAAAAAAACUACAAUAUUAAUAAAAGUGUCUGGAAAUAACUUUUAGACUCUAAUCAUAAAAUUUUCAUCUCAAAUUCAUAAAUUGAGGCAAAUCUGCCCCUC